GGUCAAGUUACUAAGGGCGCAUGGUGGAUGCCUUGGCAGAAGAUGGCGAUGAAGGACGUGGCAAGCUGCGAUAAGCCUCGACGAGCCGCAAGCAGGCUUUGACUCGGGGAUGUCCGAAUGGGGAAACCCACUACGGUAAAACCGUAGUACGGCCCGAUGAAUACAUAGUCGGGUACGAGCAAACUCAGGGAAGUGAACCAUCUCAGUACCUGAAGGAAAAGAAAGAAACCUCGAUUGCGAAAGUAGUGGCGAGCGAAAUCGCAACAGCCCAAACCCAUUGGAUCUCGGUUCAAUGGGGGUUGUAGGGCCGGCAAUAGUAGAGUUACCAAUCCAGUCGUUAGUUGAAGCCCUCUGGGAAGGGGCGCCAUAGAGCGUGAUAGCCGCGUAAACGAAAACGAUCUGGACUCGAAGCCGGUACCUGAGUACCGCGGGGCACGUGAAACCCUGCGGGAAUCUACGGAGACCAUUCCGUAAGGCUAAAUACAAGCUUCUGACCGAUAGUGAACCAGUACCGUGAGGGAAAGGUGAAAAGAACCCCGGCAAGGGGAGUGAAAUAGUACCUGAAACCGUGUGCCUACAAGCAGUGGGAGGGCUAUGCCACGCAAGUGGAAUGCCUGACCGCGUGCCUAUUGCAUAAUGAGCCGGCUAGUUAUUCUUGUCAGCAAGGUUAAGCGAAAGCGAGCCGUAGCGAAAGCGAGUCUGAAAAUGGCGAUUCAGUUGGCAGGAAUAGACGCGAAGCGGGAUGAUCUACCCUUGGCCAGGUUGAAAGUGGGGUAACACCCACUGGAGGACCGAACCGGUGUUUGUUGAAAAAAGCUCGGAUGAGCUGAGGGUAGGGGUGAAAGGCUAAUCAAAUUCCGUGAUAGCUCGUUCUCUCCGAAAUAGCUUUAGGGCUAGCCUCGAGUGAUUUGCAGUGGUGGUAGAGAUCUGAUUGGACUAGGGGGCUUUCCAGCUUACUGAAUCCAACCAAACUUCGAAUGCCACGGACAACCAGCUCGGGAGUCAGACAGUGGGGGCUAAGCUUCAUUGUCGAGAGGAAAACAGUCCAGAUCGCCUGCUAAGGUCCCAAAAUCACAGCUAAGUGGGAAAGGAAGUCGGAACGCCCAGACAGCCAGGAGGUUGGCUUAGAAGCAGCCAUCCUUUAAAGAAAGCGUAAUAGCUCACUGGUCAAGCGGUCCGGUGCCGACAAUUCAACGGGGCUAAAGCUGAGUACCGAAGCAGCGAAUGCACGGCGUUAAGUCGUGCGUGGUAGGAGAGCAUUCUCAACACAGUAGUGAGAUCGAAAGAACUCAUCGUAGGUUGAGAAGAGACCCUGCCGGCAUAAGUAGCGAUAACGGAGGUGAGAACCCUCCGCACCGAAAGUCUAAGGUUUCCUGAGGAAGGUUAAUCCGCUCAGGGUUAGUCGGUCCCUAAGGCGAGGCCGAGAGGCGUAGCCGAUGGACAUCCGGUUAAUAUUCCGGAACUCCCAGCCAUUCGUUAUCACGAUGGGGUGACGCAGAAGGAUAAGCAGGGCCUCCUAUGACUAUGGGGCUCGAUGCGUGUAAGGCGGUUUUCGUAGGCAAAUCCGCGAAGACAUUAACGCUGAGACGCAAAGCAAUAAGCCGUAUGGCUGAAAGCUGCCGAUUCCACGCUGCCAAGAAAAACCUCUAAGGAGAAUGGAAGGGAACCGUACCUCAAACCGACACAGGUAGACGAGGGCAUAAUGCCCAAAGGUGCUCGAGAGAACGCUCGUUCAGGAACUCGGCAAAUUAGACCCGUAACUUCGGGAGAAGGGUCGCCACAAUAGAGUUUACAGCUCGAAGUCACGAAUGGCGUAACGAUCGUACGACUGUCUUAACGAGCGACUCGGCGAAUUUGUAGUACCGGUGAAGAUGCCGGUUUCCCGCAUCUAGACGGAAAGACCCCGUGCACCUUUACUAUACCUUUACUAUGAACUAUGGCAUUUGCUGCGCAGGAUAGGUGGGAGGCUUUGAUUCCAGGCUCUCGGGCUUGGAGGAGCCAACGGUGAGAUACCACCCUGCGAAUUCUGUGGUUCUAACCUAUCUCCGUGAUCCGGAGAAGGGACAUAGUAAGGCGGGUAGUUUGACUGGGGCGGUCGCCUCCUAAAUUGUAACGGAGGCGUGCGAAGCUACGCUCAGGCUGUUUGGAAAUCAGCCGUCGAAUGCAAAAGUAUAAGCGUGGUUGACUGUGAGUCCUACAAGACGAGCAGGUACGAAAGUAGGCUUUAGUGAUCCGGUGGUUCUGCAUGGAAGGGCCAUCGCUCAACGGAUAAAAGGUACGCCGGGGAUAACAGGCUGAUCGGAGCCAAGAGUUCAUAUCGACGCUCCGGUUUGGCACCUCGAUGUCGGUUCAUCGCAUCCUGGAGCUGUAGAAGGUUCCAAGGGUUAGGCUGUUCGCCUAUUAAAGCGGUACGUGAACUGGGUUCAGAACGUCGCGAGACAGUUCGGUCCCUAUCUGGUGUGGGCGUAGGAGAUUUGAGAGGGCCUGUCCUUAGUACGAGAGGACCGGGAUGGACGAACCUCUUGUGUUCCAGCUGUCAUGUCAAUGGCAUGGCUGGGUAGCGAAGUUCGGUUGUAAUAAACGCUGAAUGCAUAUAAGCGUGAAGUACUCCUCAAGAUUAGAUCUCCCAACCCUCAAGGGUAAUGAAGGGCACAGGAAGACCACCUGUUUGAUAGGCAUGGAGUGUAAGGCCAGCAAUGGUUUGAGCUUACAUGUACUAAUCGCCCGUUCGGCUUGACCAU
rnacentral:rRNA from 1 species